rnacentral:lncRNA from 1 species
GCUGAGAAUGGUUUAGUGAGACCUCCAUUAAUCACUAAGGAAUAAGUAACAGAUGAAACACAAGCCAUAAUCCAAUCCACAAAUUUUGCAGGAAAUUCAAGGUCAACCAACAUCUGUUUAAGAAAUCUCCAUUCAAUAGUUUCAUAAGCCUUCCUUAAAUCAACCUUUAGUACACACCUAGGUGAUAUACCUUUCCUGCC